rnacentral:rRNA from 1 species
UACGAAGGGGGCUAGCGUUGUUCGGAAUCACUGGGCGUAAAGCGCACGUAGGCGGAUUGUUAAGUCGGGGGUGAAAUCCUGAGGCUCAACCUCAGAACUGCCUUCGAUACUGGCGAUCUUGAGUCCGGAAGAGGUUGGUGGAACAGCUAGUGUAGAGGUGAAAUUCGUAGAUAUUAGCUAGAACACCAGUGGCGAAGGCGGCCAACUGGUCCGGAACUGACGCUGAGGUGCGAAGCGUGGGGAGCAAACAGG